rnacentral:rRNA from 1 species
UACAGAGGUCUCAAGCGUUGUUCGGAUUCAUUGGGCGUAAAGGGUGCGUAGGUGGCGCUGUAAGUCGGGUGUGAAAUUUCGGAGCUUAACUCCGAAACUGCAUUCGAUACUGCGGUGCUUGAGGACUGGAGAGGAGACUGGAAUUCAUGGUGUAGCAGUGAAAUGCGUAGAGAUCAUGAGGAACACCGGUGGCGAAGGCGGGUCUCUGGGCCGUAACUGACGCUGAGGAGCGAAAGCGUGGGGAGCGAACAGG